AUUGAACGCUGGCGGCAGGCCUAACACAUGCAAGUCGAACGAGUGGCGGACGGGUGAGUAAUGUCUGGGAAACUGCCCGAUGGAGGGGGAUAACUACUGGAAACGGUAGCUAAUACCGCAUACCAUCGGAUGUGCCCAGAUGGGAGUAGCUAGUAGGUGGGGUAACGGCCCACCUAGGCGACGAUCCGUAGCUGGUCUGAGAGACUGGCCAGCUACACGGGAACUGAGACACGGUCCAGACUCCUACGGGAGGCAGCAGUGGGGAAUAUUGGACAAUGGGGGAAAGCCUGAUGCAGCCAUGCCGCGUGUAUGAAGAAGGCCUUCGGGUUGUAAAGUACUUUCAGCGAGGAGGCGUUACUCGCAGAAGAAGCACCGGCUAACUCCGUGCCAGCAGCCGCGGUAAUAC
rnacentral:rRNA from 1 species